rnacentral:rRNA from 1 species
GAUGAACGCUGGCGGCGUGCCUAAUACAUGCAAGUCGAGCGAACGGACGAGAAGCUUGCUUUUCUGAUGUUAGCGGCGGACGGGUGAGUAACACGUGGAUAACCUACCUAUAAGACUGGGAUAACUUCGGGAAACCGGAGCUAAUACCGGAUAAUAUUUUGAACCGCAUGGUUCAAAAGUGAAAGACGGUCUUGCUGUCACUUAUAGAUGGAUCCGCGCUGCAUUAGCUAGUUGGUAAGGUAACGGCUUACCAAGGCAACGAUGCAUAGCCGACCUGAGAGGGUGAUCGGCCACACGGGAACUGAGACACGGUCCAGACUCCUACGGGAGGCAGCGGUAGGGAAUCUUCCGCAAUGGGCGAAAGCCUGACGGAGCACCGCCGCGUGAGUAAUGAAGGUCUUCGGAUCGUAAAACUCUGUUAUUAGGGAAGAACAUAUGUGUAAGUAACUGUGCACAUCUUGACGGUACCUAAUCAGAAAGCCACGGCUAACUACGUG